rnacentral:tRNA from 1 species
UGCUGGGUAGCUCAGUUGGUAGAGCAAUUGCCCGCGGAAGGCAAAGGUCUCGAGUUCGAGUCUCGGUCCGGCAC